UACGUAGGGUGCAAGCGUUAAUCGGAAUUACUGGGCGUAAAGCGUGCGCAGGCGGUUCGCUAAGACAGAUGUGAAAUCCCCGGGCUUAACCUGGGAACUGCAUUUGUGACUGGCGGGCUAGAGUAUGGCAGAGGGGGGUAGAAUUCCACGUGUAGCAGUGAAAUGCGUAGAGAUGUGGAGGAAUACCGAUGGCGAAGGCAGCCCCCUGGGCCAAUACUGACACUGAGGAGCGAAAGCGUGGGGAGCGAACAGG
rnacentral:rRNA from 1 species